rnacentral:ncRNA from 1 species
AGAACUGUUUGAGUGAGAAAUGGAAUGAUUGGGUAACGCCUUGAAACAUUUUCGAUGAUACUCCGACUUGCGGUUUGAAAGCUAAAUAAAAAUCGUAAGAAGCUCGGUGAAGUCGGCAGAAGUAUUCCUAAGUAUAGAAGUGACUAAAGUAAGGUUGGUUAAAAGCGGUCAGAGUCCACCUGCCCAAAAAGGUUAUGAAAGUAUAUGGAAUAUGAUAUGCCGGUCGUC